GGGUAGUUUGACUGGGGCGGUCUCCUCCCAAAGUGUAACGGAGGAGCACGAAGGUCAGCUAAUCCUGGUCGGACAUCAGGAGGUUAGUGCAAUGGCAUAAGCUGGCUUGACUGCGAGAGUGACGGCUCGAGCAGGUGCGAAAGCAGGUCAUAGUGAUCCGGUGGUUCUGUAUGGAAGGGCCAUCGCUCAACGGAUAAAAGGUACUCCGGGGAUAACAGGCUGAUACCGCCCAAGAGUUCAUAUCGACGGCGGUGUUUGGCACCUCGAUGUCGGCUCAUCACAUCCUGGGGCUGAAGUAGGUCCCAAGGGUAUGGCUGUUCGCCAUUUAAAGUGGUACGCGAGCUGGGUUUAGAACGUCGUGAGACAGUUCGGUCCCUAUCUGCCGUGGGCGCUGGAGAAUUGAGGGGGGCUGCUCCCAGUACGAGAGGACCGGAGUGGACGCAUCACUGGUGUUCGGGUUGUCAUGCCAAUGGCACUGCCCGGUAGCUAAAUGCGGAAGAGAUAAGUGCUGAAAGCAUCUAAGCACGAAACUUGCCCCG
rnacentral:rRNA from 2 species